CACGCCCGCCUUGGCCUUUUGGGGGGGGUUUGGGGAGUUUUGGGGCAUUUUGGGUCGUUUUAGUUUGGGUUUGGGUCACUUUGGGUCGCUUUGGAGUGUUUUGGGGCGUUUUAGCGCGUUUACGGGUGUUUUGGGGGCGUUUUUGCAUGUUUUUGGGAGUUUCUUGGGCAUUUUUUUGUGUUUUGGGGUGUUUUUCAGUGUUUUUGGGCGUUUCUUUGGUGUUUUUGCCUGUUUUGGGGUAUUUCUUGGGCGUUUUUGCGCGUUUUUAGGCGUUUCUUGGGCAUUUUUGUGCGUUUUUGCACGUUUGAGGGUGUUUCUUGGGUGUUUUUGCGUGUUUAGGGGCAUUUUUGCGCGUUUCUUGGGUGUUUUGGGGUGUUUUUGAGUGUUUUUGCGCGUUUUUGGGCAUUUUUGUGCGUUUCUUUGGCGUUUUUACCUGUUUUGGGGUAUUUCUUGGGCGUUUUUGCGCGUUUUUAGGCGUUUCUUGGGCAUUUUUGUGCGUUUUUGCACGUUUGAGGGCGUUUCUUGGGCGUUUUUGCGCGUUUAGGGGCGUUUCUUUGGUGUUUUUGCCCGUUUUCGGGUAUUUUUGGGGCGUUUUUGGGCUCACCUUUCAGCGGCAGGGGCCGGCCGACGGAGUGGAGGCAGCGGACGAAGUCGCCGGCGGCCAGCGAGGGGAAGAUCUGGUGGCCCACGCGGGUCAUGAUGCGCAUGGAGGCCACGACGUAGGGCGAGUCGGUCAGCUGCACGCCCGCCUUGGCCAGCGGCGACGAGGGGGGGCCCAUGCUGAAGGGGAUGAUGUACAUGGUGCGGCCUGGGGGGGGGGACCCCAAAAAAAAGGGUUGGAGACCCCAAAAAAAGGGUUGGAGACCCCAAAAAGGAGACCCCCAAAAAGGUGAGGAAGACCCCAAAAAGAAGACCCCAAAAAGGAGACCCCAAAAAGGGUGAAGAAGACC
rnacentral:lncRNA from 1 species